AAAGCAAAUGUACUCAGCAAUCAAGUUGAAUAAACACACUAAAAAUUAGAAUAUUUCUGCAUAGAGAGGGUUCAGAUAUAGUUCACACAUCCAAUUCAACACUAUGAAAAAUCAACUCAAAAUAACUCUAUUGGUCAAAGUACAUGGGUUGGUUGGUAAAAAUAAAUGAGGUUCUGAUAGGGAACUAAGGUAUCCAAAUUGCAUGAUCUUGGAGAGCUAAAAUCAAGGAUUUAAAGAUCGAUUGAUUACCCUUGAUUGAGUACUUAUUUACCGAUAAAUGUGAGAACCAAGAAAGUCCUAAACUAUUUCUUAGCAAUAAAAUCUAUAAGAUUUAAAAGUAAACACAAUCAUAUUUUGGGAAUCAGAAAUCAAAUGAAAAUUGUGAAAUUUUCUAUAUCCACUUUUCUAUCAACUUCUAAAGCUAUAUAUCCUGGUUCAAAAGAUGCAAGAUGGAUGAAAAAAACCUGUAAAGAGAUAAUCAUUGACAAUUCUACAUGUUUCAGUGUGGCUCUCAUAACUAAUUAUCAUAAAGACACUUCAAGUAGUAUAAAAACAUAGGGCCACAAAUUUGUAGUUUUGAGCAAAAUCCACAAAUUUGAGUUCACAAACAUAGGAUAAAAAUAAAAAUAAAAA